CAAGGUGGCGACAGACCGGGAAAAUCGGGAAAACCGGGAACAGUCAGGAAAUUAUUACGGAUCAGAGAGAAAAAUCUACC